CGAAAGCCUGACGGAGCAAUACCGCGUGAGGGAGGAAGGCUCUUGGGUCGUAAACCUCUUUUCUCAGGGAAGAACAAAAUGACGGUACCUGAGGAAUAAGCAUCGGCUAACUCCGUGCCAGCAGCCGCGGUAAUACGGAGGAUGCAAGCGUUAUCCGGAAUGAUUGGGCGUAAAGCGUCCGCAGGUGGCAGUGUAAGUCUGCUGUCAAAGGUCAGGGCUUAACUCUGAACAGGCAGUGGAAACUACACAGCUAGAGUGCGGUGGGGGCAGAGGGAAUUCCCAGUGUAGCGGUGAAAUGCGUAGAGAUUGGGAAGAACACCGGUGGCGAAAGCGCUCUGCUAGGCCGUAACUGACACUCAUGGACGAAAGCUAGGGGAGCG
rnacentral:rRNA from 1 species